CCUUUCUAAUGGAGUGAGGGUCUGAAAAACUCAGACAUUGGGUGUGUUGUCAUCAGCUUCAUCUCCCACAACCCACGAGAUAGGAGUUAAAUAACAGCACUACAUUU